rnacentral:rRNA from 1 species
GAGUUUGAUUAUGGCUCAGAACGAACGCUGGCGGCGCGCUUAACACAUGCAAGUCGAGCGAGAACCAGGACUUCGGUCCUGGGGACAGCGGCGAACGGGUGAGUAACACGUGGAUAACCUGCCCUCGGCACCGGGAUAGCCCGAGGAAACUCGGAUUAAUACCGGAUAGCCCUUCCGACUCUCGAGUCGGUCCGAAAAGGUAGCUUCGGCCUCUGGCCGAGGAUGGGUCCGCGGCGGAUUAGCUUGUUGGUGGGGUAACGGCCUACCAAGGCUCCGAUCCGUAGCUGGUCUGAGAGGACGAUCAGCCACACUGGGACUGAGACACGGCCCAGACUCCUACGGGAGGCAGCAGUGGGGAAUCUUGCGCAAUGGGCGAAAGCCUGACGCAGCGACGCCGCGUGAGGGAAGAAGGCCUUCGGGUUGUAAACCUCUUUCAGGAGGGACGAAGCUACUCGGGUGAAUAGCCCAGAGGGUGACGGUACCUCCAGAAGAAGCCCCGGUUAACUACGUGCCAGCAGCCGCGGUAAUACGUAGGGGGCAAGCGUUGUCCGGAUUUACUGGGCGCAAAGAGCGUGUAGGCGGCCAAACAGGUCCGUUGUGAAAACUGGAGGCUCAACCUCCAGACGUCGACGGAAACCGUAUGGCUAGAGUCCGGAAGAGGAGAGUGGAAUUCCUGGUGUAGCGGUGAAAUGCGCAGAUAUCAGGAAGAACACCUAUGGCGAAGGCAGCUCUCUGGGACGGUACUGACGCUGAGACGCGAAAGCGUGGGGAGCGAACAGGAUUAGAUACCCUGGUAGUCCACGCCGUAAACGAUGGGUGCUAGGUGUGGGAGGUGUCAACUCCUU